CCUCUCUCUCUCUCUCUGUCUGUCUCUCUGUCUGUCUGUCUGUCUAACUCUCUCUGUGGUGUCAUAAUUGAGAGAGUGGUGUGGCCCAGGAGUCCAGCAUGUAAUCCACACUAUAAGCACUCUCUAAUUGAAGUGCAAACUCAAUACUCCCGUAUCAGUCCUUCUCUCUCUCUCUCUCUCUCUCUCUCUCUCUCUCUCUCUCUCUCUCUCUCUCUCUCUCUCUCUCUCUCUCUCUCUCUCUUCUAAUUGGUAAUUACACACAAUGCCUAGCAAUCCAAUCACUGCAGUGAACACAACAAACAAACAAUCAAACUAAAAGAUAAAUAUAACUGAACUGCUUCCUGUGUUUGGUUUAGGGUGGGAUGAAUGAUUAAAAUAAAUAAAUAAAAAAAAAACAAGUAGGACUAAAACCCACCACAACGCCUCAUUCCAGAGAAGAUUAAUUUCAUAUUGCUCGCUCUCUUUUCUUCAUUUUCUUCAUCCCUCACUUGGCAUUCGUUUAGUUGUGUCCCUGGUGUGUGUUCCCGUUACAGUCUCCCUCUUUAAUGUGCAGGUAACCCAAUUCCUCUCUGAAGAUGUCUAAUUAUUUUUCCGAAGAGCAGUGAAGUGGUAAGCGAUCCGUGGGCACAUCGGCUGACGUGGGCAGGCAAAUGGUCUCUAUGGAGCUUAAUCUUCCUGUUGACCAUGUGCUUAUUUGGGUCUAAUUCCGUUAGACCUGCCACCUUGCCAACACAGAAGUGAACUCAAUGCCAACUCUGCAUCACUGAACUGGCAUCAGCCUUGCGAGAGGGCAUUAUAGUGAAUCACACAGCAGCACGGACAUAACCCAAAGCCACUCUAAUGGAUUCCAAACUGACACUGAGCCGUUUCCAGGCAUCAGCCAGGAAGCACAUCAUGACGACGGCAAAUGAAAGCCAGCAAGAUCUUCCCCACCCACGCCUGGCUGACAGGUGUCCUGUGCAGCAACCGACAAGAACUAAGGAACGCUGAGAGAAAGUGGAGAAAAUGCCAGCUUGACUCAGAUCUUCACUUCUACCAAUAUCAUCUUUCCAAGUUCUUACUUGAAGUUACUGCUGCAAAGUCAUCUUUCUACAGAGGGAAACUGAAAGCAUCAACAUCUGAUCCGCACAAGCUCUUCAGCAUCUUCUCCUCUCUCCUCAGCCAUCCUCCUCCCCCUCCACCCUCUUCUCUCACCCCUCUUUGAGGAGAAGGUUGACAGAAUCCAUCAGUCUUUUCUGUCUGUCCUCACUCCUUCCACUAGACAUCCUCCUCUCAUUCUCAAUCCCUUAAACUGUUUUUCUUAUCUUUCCACAGAUGCUGUCCUUCAACUGAUCAAAUCCAUUAACCCAACCACCUGUCCAUUGGAUCCCAUCCCAUCUGCAUUGUUCUAGUCAAUCUCCAAGGACCUACUGCCCUUAAUCACUUUGCUCAUUAACAAGUCCUUGUCAUCAGAACCAGCUCCAGGACCCCAACCAGUCUGGCUUCAAACCAGCACACUCAACAGAAACUGCUCUUAUAGCAGUGAACGUGAAGCUCCAGUCAGCAAAAUCAGCCAAACUGUUAUCUGUCCUGAUUUUUCUUGACCUAUCAGCAGCUUUUGACACGACAACCAUACAAUUCUUCUUGAUGUCCUAUCUGGAGGAUCGCUCUUAUCAGGUUUCCAGUUGCAUCUCGGCAUAUCUGUCUGACAUUUCUUCAUGGAUGGCAGUUCACCACCUGAAGCUCAAUCCUAGCAAGACUGAGCUGCUAUUCAUCCCUGCAACUACAGGUCCUCAUCAUGAUCUUGCUAUCUCAUUCUGGUUGUUCUGUCUGUAGAGGAAAGAAGUCUUGGUGUGAUUCUAGAUGGCUAGUUAUUGUUCUCAACUCACAUGGCGAACCUAACUCAGUCAUGCAGAUUUCUCCUGUAUAACAUCUGGAGGAUCCAACCCUUUAUUGUAUUUUAUUGUGUUGCUCUGUUCUGUGUUCAACUCUGUUCCUUUUUUUAUGGGUAUCAACAGUAACUUUUUAUUUCUAGCAGUAUCUGAGCUCAGGACUUGCUUUCUCUCUAACCUAUUGGUAACUAACAAAGAUUCUUUCUCUAGAAAGGCAAAGCACUUCUUGUAAGUCGCUCUGGAUAAGUGCAUCUGCUAAACGCUGUAAAUGUAAAUCUAAGUCAGAACUCUUGAGAAACUCUGACCUUCUAUUUCUAUGUUAUACUCUAUUUGUUUAUGAUAUUGCUAAACAUUUAUAUUUGUUGUUUGAAUAAUUAUAUUUUUAGCCAUUGGUUGUAAAAUGAGAUUAUUAAUCAAACUGCAUGCCUGCGUGACUUUUUGUUGGCACUAUGUUGACAUUGGAUUUCCAUAUCCUAUCUUCACAUUUAAAACAAAACAAGCAA